rnacentral:rRNA from 1 species
UACGUAGGUGACCAGCGUUGUCCGGAUUUACUGGGCGUAAAGAGCGCGCAGGCGGUCGUUCAAGUCGAGUGUGAAAGCCCCCCGGCUCAACUGGGGGAGGGUCACUCGAUACUGAUCGACUUGAAGGCAGGAGAGGGAAGCGGAAUUCCCGGUGUAGUGGUGAAAUGCGUAGAUAUCGGGAGGAACACCAGUGGCGAAGGCGGCUUCCUGG